AUGCAGGUUCUGAGCUGCUCUCAGCCUGGUUUUGGCUGGGGAGGGCGGGAUAUAAAUAAUUUAUUAUUAUUAUUAUUAUUAUUAUUAUUAUUAUUAUUAUUAUUAUUAAAUGUACCAAGGCCUUUGGGGGGGGGGCAGAGGAAAUCUGAAGACUGGUUGGAUUCUUGGGCCAGGAAGCAGAAACAAAUUAAUCCAGUUAUGUUUAACCACCAGAAAUUCAUCACCCAAUUCAACAACUUAUUAUUGGAGACAGCUGUGAUUGAACCCCUACAAGGAGGGAUUUCCAGUUUCUGGCCACUGCUGUCUACGCCUCUUGCAAUCUGCUUGCGGUGCAUAUAUUCCCAGCUGGGUUCCAAACCUGGUGGUCUUCAUCUAAAUCUUCGCUUGUCAUCCGAAACCUCUACUGCUGGACUUAAGUGAAAAAGACAAAAGACAUUUUGAGACUGCUGCUGGGAUUUUGACUGCCUUUAUACCAGCUGUUCCAAGAUGAAGUGGGAGGAAAGGAUACUGUGCUGUUCCCUUCUGGGUAUCUUAAUGGCAUCAAAAACAAAGCAGUUGGCUCUGAGCAUUUGCGCCGAAGAACGGAGCCCUUCAUUGUUGAACCCUCGUCGAAUGGAACUCGUCUGGAUUGAAACUGAUGAUUCUUUUGGCAGGUCUUAAUGGGCAGACCUUGCAGUCAUGAAGAACAUGUUUAUAUGUUCCAACUAUUCUACCUCGGACACAUCUGAAUUGCCAUCCUGGCAAGAUCCACCUGGCUUAGCAUUCUGUUUUUCAUAGAAGCAAGCUGGAUACAUCUAAAAAAGCCCAUAAUCAUGAUGGUAUCCCUAUGCUGUGGCUUCAGACUUGCUACCAUAGCAUUAUUAAGAACACAAGAAGCGCUAUUCUGGAGCAAAACAAAAGCCAUCUAGUCCAGAUGUCCAUAGGAAGCCCACAAGAAGGUCAGGAUCGCAGCACCAUUUGCCUGCAACCUGUGUUCUGAAACACUAUUGGAGCUAAGCAGGUGUGGGCCUGGUCAGCACUCUAGAUGGGAGACCAUAUGUAAGUUACUCUAAGCUUAUCAUGUAAAGAAAUAUUCUGUCUCUGUGAGUAGUAAAACAAAUAAAUCCUUGUUAUUCUAAAUGGCAUAUCUGGUGGCAUUUGUUGGUUGCCUCUGAAAACUCAUGCUAUAAUAGUUUAUCAGGCAACAUCAAGCCCCGUUAGUUUGGGUGGAAGAAGUUUAGCCUGUUGAAAUCGAGGAGGCUUCAAGGUGCUUAACUUUGCCUAGACUAUGUCAUUAAAUCUGCAAGGUGCCAUAAGAUGGAGCAGAACAAAAAAUGGGGUGGAGAGCAGAGGGGCAGGGGAUGGCAGCAGCACACUUCAUGCAUAUUCAGACCCAUUAAAGUCAAAGUUAUUGUUUUUAUACACUGUGGGCUGAGCAGUGGGGGACAGAAAGAGGCUGCAGCCUUGGGAAUGCUUUGUCGGAAGUGCUGUUUGUCCCCACGACACAUUUCCUGAGCUUCAACCUCUUUAAACCUUCCUACUGAUUUCAGCGGUGAUGUCCGUUGCCUUUUUGUCUAUGUUCACAAGUCAAUAUGUCCCCGUUGACUUAAAUGGAAGUAGAUAAAAAUGAUACAAGGGAACUGAUGUUCUUUUCGAAAGAAAAGAAAAAUACUGAAAAGCCAAAUGAACAUGAAUAGCUCAUGCACAGAAUCAGUUUCAUCCCAGCAUUCAAAAAUCUGGGUUUCCACCUGGAAUUUAACUGGACCAGACCAAACCAAUGCUGGACCCCCAGUUUUGGAAUGGAAUGGAAAGCUUUCAUUCUCCUCCUCUGUAUUCCUUGGCUCUGAAUACCAAUUUGCACAGCUCAUAUUGGAGCUAUUGUGAAUUGAACAUCUUGGCCCAAGAAGUUAUUCUCUGCUUGGAAUAUAAAAUGAGACUCUGUUCAUGCAUAGAAAACCUUCCACGGAUCAGAUGAUUAAAACCAUCUGUAAUUUAUCUGCAUGCCCCAAAAUUAUUUAAUAUUAAUUUUAAACUAUUUUUUUGGUCUCAAUUUAAACUUUUCAUGCAGGAAUCUUUUCCCCAACGUGGGGCUUGAACCCCCGAGAUUAAGAGUCCUCUGCUCUAUUACUAUUUCCUGUUAGUUGUGCUGCUGAAGCUUUUUGCUGCUGUCACUGAAGAUUUUUAUGAACUGCUUGUUUUUUAUUGUGUUUUGUUUUGUUUUACUUGCGCUUAUGCUCUUUAAAAUGUCCUAAGUCACUUGGAAAUAUUUCCUGUGUAACAAGUGAUGAUGAUGAUGAUGAUUCAGAGGAGGAGAUUUCAGAGGGAAUGAAUUGAGGAUUAGACAGGGAAACUUAGAGCAAAACGGUCCUUUGUGCUUGGGCUUCUCCCUUCAUUCUUUGCCCUGUGCUGCCCAAGCUAUGUUGUUGUUUAGUCGUUUAGUCGUGUCCAACUCUUUGUGACCCCAUGGACCAGAGCAUGCCAGGCACUCCUGUCUUCCACUGCAAGGAGAGAAUGCAAGGAAAUAAGAAGAGUAGGAUCAGACCACUCCCUUCUUCUGUGGUUUUCAGCAGCUGGUAUCCUGAAGCAUUGGUACCUUUGGCUGUGGAGGUAGAGCACAGGCAACAUGGCUAGCAGCCAUUGGUACCUUUCUCCUCCAUGAAGUUGUCCAAUCCUCUUUUAAAGCGGCCAGCACUGCCUCCUGUGGCAGCGAGUGCCUUAGUUUAACCAGGCCCUGCAUUAAAAGUACCUUCUUUU
ensembl:lncRNA